GGAGGAACGACAUGAGAUGGUGAGAUAUCACACUCAUGUCCUGCAACCGCAAUGCAUCAUGGGAGGAUGCGUUGUCAUCGCAUGCAGCCCCGGCCGUACAAUACCCCGCUCCAAAACCAACCUAAGUAUGACGUGAGGAUCUCCAGCAGCGACCGUCCCUCUUGUGUGUCCAGAAGCUUUUCUGAGCCGCCGCCGGUCAUGUUCCACAAGGCCUGACACACCUGGCCCGCCAGCUGCCAGUCACCUGCUCCGAAGUCUCGCAGACAGUCUGUUAGCCUAAAACACACAAACACACACUCAUCGAAUGGAAAAAAAAUGGAGGGAUUGUUGUCUGUUGUACACAACCCUGACCGGCCUCAACACCAUUUGCAUUGUGUAGCACUGUAGCAUCAGCAAUAAUACAGCUAAUCUAUGAAAUAUAAUAGUCUAAGCAAUAUAUUUGUCUAAAAAUAAGGUGAUGUUGGUUGGUUAUUCUCUUACAUGCUUUUUGUAAACAUUUGUAAACAAGCACUUUUGUGGGCGUGGCUUACCUGGUGCCACAAAGUGCUACACUUGACACUUGACAUUUGUAAGCUAACAGUAUCAGCACCAAAAGAAAAAAAGGGCAAUACAGACAAGUAUUUUCAUUGACGUCCAGCAGAACAAAGGUUGUCUUACACACACACACACACACACACAAACAAAUAAUCAAAGACCUGUUACCAGCUAGCAAGUCGAUCAGUUGAGCGGUAAUCGAUGGUUUUAGGCUCCGCCCACCUGCCGGCUGUUAUUUGCUGUAUGCUUGUGGUUUUCUCCAUUUCUCCCCCUAAUUCAGGUGGGUCAAACUGUUAUUUUUGUGUUUUUCAGUGUUGUUAAAUUGUGGAACAGGACAAAUAUGUGUAAGUGCAAGUUAUUACUACGUUUUGUUGCGAUAAUUAACGUCUUUUAUUUGAAUUGCUAGUAAAUCGCUAAGCUAAAGCUAGCCCCAGCUAGACGAUUCUCCCCUUAAUUCAGGUGGGUCAAACUGUUAUUUUUGUGUUUUUUGGUGUUGUUAAAUUGUGGAACAGGACGAAUAUGUGUAAGUGCAAGUUAUUACUACGUUUUGUUGCGAUAAUUAACGUCUUUUUUGAACUGCUAGUAAAUCGCUAAGCUAAAGCUAGCCCCUGCUUGAUGAUUAGGUGCAACCCGUGUCAUUAGCCACUGUUUUUUCAGCUGAUUAAUAUGCAAAUCGUAUGCACGCGUCUAUUUGCAAACCGCAUUUAUAUGUUUGUGUUUUAUAAGUAUUUUAAGUAUUAUAAUGUGUAACAACAACUCGAGGGGCACCCAACAGAAAAAGGAACAUUCCAAUUGCAACUCAAAUGCAAUUAACACCACACUCAUUGUGUAACAUUGUCCAACUGGAUACACAAGCUUACUUUGCAGCAGCCCCUUCCACUGACAGACGGCCUCGGUUGGGAGGGUCCAGCGCCAGGUUGGUGAGGACCCCGCAGGCUGAGAAGCAGACUUCAGGGUUCUUAGAGUCCAGCAGUGUCACCACAAACCUGUACACUGACAGCCAUGCAAGAGGAGAGUGAGGAGUCCCGCACUUCUUUGGACUGUGACAAGUUUCCAUAGACGCGGGUGGCCUCCAGGAUGGCGUCCAUGUUGGAGCUGACCAUCAACUUCAGCAUCACUGAUAGAAGAACAAGGAAACAGGCUGACUGCGUUUCAGCGCCGAGCUGUCUUUGUGAUAGAAGGUCAGGUUGUUGAUGGUGGCGGCCACGUUCACUAUCAACUCCUCGCUCUCCUGCACUGACCUCAGCUCUGACAUGGACACACAAGAAAUAUCACAGCGUCUCCAUUAGCAGCUGGAUGCAGGUGGUGUUGCUGGCCAGUGCCGCGCCCACAUCAGGAUGAAUGCACAUGUUGGCCAGCACCCUGACCAGCUUCACCAGCACAUCCUCGCCCUCCCGUAUGCUGGCCGCAGUGGGUGCCGGCGAGUCCUCCCUCAGCUGGUAGUCGUCGUACAGCCGCAGGAGGGUGUCUACACAAUCCUCACAGUGGAAGAGCUGCUGACGAGCCUCGUCGCUUUUUGCCGUGAGGUUGCCCAGCGUGAAGAGGAGUCGCACGACAAGGUCCUGUGGUGGAGAGGUGUUCACACUUCCCAAAGGAGGCGACCGAUAACUACCCGCAUGUUCCCUCAUGUCCUGGCACCGCUGUAUCUGUCACAUGGCAGCACACACCUCUGACUCGCAUGAGCCUUCAGUGACAGGAGGCGUACGAUCGCAGUGUUUCCCGAGAGAAACUUGAGCGUGCCGACGCAGUAAAACAACGCUUCUCCAGAUGUAGACACCUCCUCGCGGAGCAACAGUCCAAGCAGGAAGUCUACAUGGAAGGGAACCAUCCACAGCACAGUUAACAUUCAUGUGGUGCCGGCCUGUGCUCAUGAAACAGAAUUGAGUUCACCUAUGACUGAGUUGUCCUGGAAGAGGGCGUCGUUGGAUUCAUUGCGACUGAUCUGGAAGACGAGCUUACAGAUGUUGAGCAGCAUCCUAAUGGAGGACUUUUGAGGACUGACGGCGAGGCAGAGCUCGGCGAUGUGCAGAUCAAGCCGUGAAGAGUUGAGGUCAAUGAGCUGAAACAGGGUUCGUAGUAUGGUGGAGCGCUUCUUGCAGCCAUGAUGGCCCAGCAUGCCAGCCUCUGCCAAGGCGUCAUGGAGACUGACACACAAGUCACACAGACGCUCCAGCGAGGCCUCAGAGCUCCCUGGGGGAUUGUAUUGGAAAUUAAGUGUCUGGAAACGUCAGUGGAGCGACACAAUUCCAUGACUCUAGUGUGGAUGCCAGGGUGUUUUUGAGGUAAAAUAAAAAGUCUUUCUGAGGUGAGACACCUCAAUUCUGUUUUUAUCACUGGACAUUUGGUAGAACAAAUACUCACUGUUGAUUUUAAAAGUUCCCACAUUUGUUGUGUUGAUCUAUA